rnacentral:rRNA from 1 species
AUUGAACGCUGGCGGCAGGCCUAACACAUGCAAGUCGAACGAGUGGCGGACGGGUGAGUAAUGUCUGGGAAACUGCCUGAUGGAGGGGGAUAACUACUGGAAACGGUAGCUAAUACCGCAUACCAUCAGCUGAGCCCAGAUGGGAUUAGCUAGUUGGUGGGGUAACGGCUCACCAAGGCGACGAUCCCUAGCUGGUCUGAGAGGAUGACCAUGCACACUGGAACGUGGACGCGGUCCAUACUGCUACGGGAGGCAGCAGUGGGGAGUAUUGCAGAAUGGGCGCAAGCCGGAUGCAGCCGUGCCGCGUGUAUGAAGAAGGCGUUCGGGUUGUAAAGUACUUUCAGCGGGGAGGCGUUACCCGCAGAAGAAGCACCGGCUAACUCCGUGCCAGCAGCCGCGGUAAUUC